AUAUUGGUCAAUGGGCUUACGCCUGAACCAGCCAAGUCGCGUGAGGGAAGACUGCCCUAUGGGUCGUAAACCUCUUUUGUCAGGGAGCAAAGGCGUCCACGUGUGGACGAAAGGAGAGUACCUGAAGAAAAAGCAUCGGCUAACUCCGUGCCAGCAGCCGCGGUAAUACGGAGGAUGCGAGCGUUAUCCGGAUUUAUUGGGUUUAAAGGGUGCGUAGGCGGAGUGUCAAGUCAGCGGUAAAAUUUCGGGGCUCAACCCCGUCGUGCCGUUGAAACUGACACUCUUGAGUGAGUGAGAAGUAAGCGGAAUGCGUGGUGUAGCGGUGAAAUGCAUAGAUAUCACGCAGAACGCCGAUUGCGAAGGCAGCUUACCGGCGCUCAACUGACGCUGAGGCACGAAAGUGCGGGUAUCG
rnacentral:rRNA from 1 species